UACGGAGGGUGCAAGCGUUGUCCGGAUUUAUUGGGUUUAAAGGGUGCGUAGGCGGUCUUUUAAGUCAGUGGUGAAAGCCUCCAGCUUAACUGGAGAACAGCCAUUGAUACUGGAAGACUUGAGUACAGACGAGGUAGGCGGAAUUGACAGUGUAGCGGUGAAAUGCAUAGAUAUUGUCAAGAACACCGAUUGCGAAGGCAGCUUACUAGACUGUAACUGACGCUGAGGCACGAAAGUGUGGGGAUCAAACAGG
rnacentral:rRNA from 1 species